AUUGAACGCUGGCGGCAUGCCUUACACAUGCAAGUCGAACGGCAGCACGGGUGCUUGCACCUGGUGGCGAGUGGCGAACGGGUGAGUAAUACAUCGGAACAUGUCCUGUAGUGGGGGAUAGCCCGGCGAAAGCCGGAUUAAUACCGCAUACGAUCUACGGAUGAAAGCGGGGGACCUUCGGGACUCGCGCUAUAGGGUUGGCCGAUGGCUGAUUAGCUAGUUGGUGGGGUAAAGGCCUACCAAGGCGACGAUCAGUAGCUGGUCUGAGAGGACGACCAGACACACUGGGACUGAGACACGGCCCAGACUCCUACGGGAGGCAGCAGUGGGGAAUUUUGGACAAUGGGCGAAAGCCUGAUCCAGCAAUGCCGCGUGUGUGAAGAAGGCCUUCGGGUUGUAAAGCACUUUUGUCCGGAAAGAAAUCCUUGGCCCUAAUACGGUCGGGGGAUGACGGUACCGGAAGAAUAAGCACCGGCUAACUACGUG
rnacentral:rRNA from 1 species